AUUGAACGCUGGCGGCAGGCCUAACACAUGCAAGUCGAGCGGAUGAAGGGAGCUUGCUCCUGGAUUCAGCGGCGGACGGGUGAGUAAUGCCUAGGAAUCUGCCUGGUAGUGGGGGAUAACGUCCGGAAACGGGCGCUAAUACCGCAUACGUCCUGAGGGUGAAAGUGGGGGAUCUUCGGACCUCACGCUAUCAGAUGAGCCUAGGUCGGAUUAGCUAGUUGGUGGGGUAAAGGCCUACCAAGGCGACGAUCCGUAACUGGUCUGAGAGGAUGAUCAGUCACACUGGAACUGAGACACGGUCCAGACUCCUACGGGAGGCAGCAGUGGGGAAUCUUGGACAAUGGGCGAAAGCCUGAUCCAGCCAUGCCGCGUGUGUGAAGAAGGUCUUCGGAUUGUAAAGCACUUUAAGUUGGGAAGAAGGGCAGUAAGUUAAUACCUUGCUGUUUUGACGUUACCAACAGAAUAAGCACCGGCUAACUACGUG
rnacentral:rRNA from 1 species